CUGAAAAGCGUAGUCGAUGGGAAACAGGUUAAUAUUCCUGUACUUCUGGUUACUGCGAUGGAGGGACGGAGAAGGCUAGGCCAGCUUGGCGUUGGUUGUCCAAGUUUAAGGUGGUAGGCUGAAAUCUUAGGUAAAUCCGGGGUUUCAAGGCCGAGAGCUGAUGACGAGUCGUCUUUUAGAUGACGAAGUGGUUGAUGCCAUGCUUCCAAGAAAAGCUUCUAAGCUUCAGGUAACCAGGAACCGUACCCCAAACCGACACAGGUGGUCGGGUAGAGAAUACCAAGGCGCUUGAGAGAACUCGGGUGAAGGAACUAGGCAAAAUGGCACCGUAACUUCGGGAGAAGGUGCGCCGGCUAGGGUGAAGGAUUUACUCCGUAAGCUCUGGCUGGUCGAAGAUACCAGGCCGCUGCGACUGUUUAUUAAAAACACAGCACUCUGCAAACACGAAAGUGGACGUAUAGGGUGUGACGCCUGCCCGGUGCCGGAAGGUUAAUUGAUGGGGUUAGCGCAAGCGAAGCUCUUGAUCGAAGCCCCGGUAAACGGCGGCCGUAACUAUAACGGUCCUAAGGUAGCGAAAUUCCUUGUCGGGUAAGUUCCGACCUGCACGAAUGGCGUAACGAUGGCGGCGCUGUCUCCACCCGAGACUCAGUGAAAUUGAAAUCGCUGUGAAGAUGCAGUGUAUCCGCGGCUAGACGGAAAGACCCCGUGAACCUUUACUGUAGCUUUGCACUGGACUUUGAGCCUGCUUGUGUAGGAUAGGUGGGAGGCUUUGAAGCGUGGACGCCAGUUCGCGUGGAGCCAUCCUUGAAAUACCACCCUGGCAUGCUUGAGGUUCUAACUCUGGUCCGUAAUCCGGAUCGAGGACAGUGUAUGGUGGGCAGUUUGACUGGGGCGGUCUCCUCCUAAAGAGUAACGGAGGAGUACGAAGGUGCGCUCAGACCGGUCGGAAAUCGGUCGUAGAGUAUAAAGGCAAAAGCGCGCUUGACUGCGAGACAGACACGUCGAGCAGGUACGAAAGUAGGUCUUAGUGAUCCGGUGGUUCUGUAUGGAAGGGCCAUCGCUCAACGGAUAAAAGGUACUCCGGGGAUAACAGGCUGAUACCGCCCAAGAGUUCAUAUCGACGGCGGUGUUUGGCACCUCGAUGUCGGCUCAUCACAUCCUGGGGCUGAAGCCGGUCCCAAGGGUAUGGCUGUUCGCCAUUUAAAGUGGUACGCGAGCUGGGUUUAGAACGUCGUGAGACAGUUCGGUCCCUAUCUGCCGUGGACGUUUGAGAUUUGAGAGGGGCUGCUCCUAGUACGAGAGGACCGGAGUGGACGAACCUCUGGUGUUCCGGUUGUCACGCCAGUGGCAUUGCCGGGUAGCUAUGUUCGGAAAAGAUAACCGCUGAAAGCAUCUAAGCGGGAAACUUGCCUCAAGAUGAGAUCUCACUGGGAACUUGAUUCCCCUGAAGGGCCGUCGAAGACUACGACGUUGAUAGGCUGGGUGUGUAAGCGUUGUGAGGCGUUGAGCUAACCAGUACUAAUUGCCCGUGAGGCUUGACCAU
rnacentral:rRNA from 1 species